rnacentral:rRNA from 1 species
GUAUAAAGUGGCGAACGGCUGAGUAACACGUGGGCAACCUGCCCUUUGCACUGGGAUAGCCUCGGGAAACCGAGGUUAAUACCGGAUACUCCAUAUUUGUCGCAUGGCGAAUAUGGGAAAGCUCCGGCGGCAAAGGAUGGGCCCGCGGCCUGUUAGCUAGUUGGUGGGGUAGUGGCCUACCAAGGCAAUGAUGGGUAGCCGGGUUGAGAGACCGACCGGCCAGAUUGGGACUGAGACACGGCCCAGACUCCUACGGGAGGCAGCAGUG